rnacentral:lncRNA from 1 species
AAUUAAUGGAUUCUCAAUGAGCAGAUCCAGAUCUUAUCAGUGUUUACCACAGAAGCAGGAAACUGGCAGAACUUGGGUUAUGGAUGAAGCAAAACAGGGUGGAGAGGAAGAGGACAUUGCCACUUGUUGAUCCAUGGAAAAGAUCAGAAGAUUAACCAAAAGCUACACUAGUGGUAUUUGAACUGCUCUUGACUGACCCUUCUUAGAAACCUCCAUGACAUGUGGACAUAUGGCAGAAAGAAAGGGUGCAGAGAUGUGGAGGAUAAACCAGCAGAGCUCUGAGAUCCUCCAUGUCACCUAUUUGGACACUCUCAAUCUACAUAUGGAGUUGAAACCCUGAGCAUCAACCCAUAUUCCAAGGCUCAGCAGGAACUCCGUAUAUGAUGGAAGAUCAG